rnacentral:rRNA from 1 species
UUAACCUCAGAUCAGGCAAGAUUACCCGUUGAA